CGAACGCUGGCGGCAGGCCUAAUACAUGCAAGUCGAACGGCUCUUCGGAGCAGUGGCGGACGGGUGAGUAACGCGUGGGAAUGUGCCCUUAGGUACGGAACAACACAGGGAAAGUUGUGCUAAUACCGUAUGUGCCCUUCGGGGGAAAGAUUUAUCGCCUUGGGAGCAGCGCGGGUUGGAUUAGGUAGUUGGUGAGGUAAAGGCUCACCAAGCCGACGAUCCAUAGCUGGUCUGAGAGGAUGACCAGCCACACUGGGACGGAGACACGGCCCAGACGCCUACGGGAGGCAGCAGUAGGGAAUCUUGCGCAAUGGGCGAAAGCCUGACGCAGCCAUGCCGCGUGUAUGAUGAAGGUCUUAGGAUUGUAAAAUACUUUCACCGGGGAAGAUAAUGACGGUACCCGGAGAGGAAGCCCCGGCUAACUUCGUGCCAGCCGCCGCGGUAACAC
rnacentral:rRNA from 1 species